rnacentral:rRNA from 1 species
ACGGAGGAUCCAAGCGUUAUCCGGAUUCAUUGGGUUUAAAGGGUGCGUAGGCGGAAUGAUAAGUCAGUGGUGAAAUCCUGCAGCUUAACUGCAGAACUGCCAUUGAUACUGUCAAUCUUGAGUACAUUUGAUGUGGGCGGAAUGUGUCAUGUAGCGGUGAAAUGCUUAGAUAUGACACAGAACACCGAUUGCGAAGGCAGCUCACAAAACUGUUACUGACGCUGAGGCACGAAAGCGUGGGUAUCAAACAGG